UACGUAGGGGGCUAGCGUUGUCCGGAAUCAUUGGGCGUAAAGCGCGUGUAGGCGGUCCGGUAAGUCCGCUGUGAAAGUCGAGGGCUCAACCUCGAAUGCCGGUGGAUACUGUCGGGCUUGAGUACGGGAGAGGCGAGUGGAAUUCCUGGUGUAGCGGUGAAAUGCGCAGAUAUCAGGAGGAACACCGAUUGCGAAGGCAGCUCGCUGGAACGUUACUGACGCUGAGACGCGAAAGCGUGGGGAGCAAACAGGAU
rnacentral:rRNA from 1 species